CUUCCGUAGGGGGAACCUGCGGAGGGAUCAUUACACAAAUAUGAAGGCGGGCUGGAACCUCUCGGGGUUACAGCCUUGCUGAAUUAUUCACCCUUGUCUUUUGCGUACUUCUUGUUUCCUUGGUGGGUUCGCCCACCACUAGGACAAACAUAAACCUUUUGUAAUUGCAAUCAGCGUCAGUAACAAAUUAAUAAUUACAACUUUCAACAACGGAUCUCUUGGUUCUGGCAUCGAUGAAGAACGCAGCGAAAUGCGAUAAGUAGUGUGAAUUGCAGAAUUCAGUGAAUCAUCGAAUCUUUGAACGCACAUUGCGCCCUUUGGUAUUCCAAAGGGCAUGCCUGUUCGAGCGUCAUUUGUACCCUCAAGCUUUGCUUGGUGUUGGGCGUCUUGUCUCUAGCUUUGCUGGAGACUCGCCUUAAAGUAAUUGGCAGCCGGCCUACUGGUUUCGGAGCGCAGCACAAGUCGCACUCUCUAUCAGCAAAGGUCUAGCAUCCAUUAAGCCUUUUUUUCAACUUUUGACCUCGGAUCAGGUAGGGAUACCCGCUGAACUUAAGCAUAUCAAUAAGCGGAGGAA
rnacentral:rRNA from 1 species